CAAUUGGUCAAGGGACGUCAUCCAGCGGGCAUGCAGCGUUUCGGAUCACGCGCAUGCGCGUGCCGUGAAGGAUGUUCGGAAAAAAAUAUUCGUCUAUCACAUUGUUAGGCGAACCGGAUAGAAAAUGAGAGACAGAGCAAUCAGUCCUGAACCUUCCAAAAUCACUGCACCUCCUUGACCUUCUUGAACUGCUGCAGUCUGUGCGGUGAAGUUGCUCCCAGAUUGCUGUUCCAUAAGGAGUUACAGGAUUUUCAUCCAGUGGUGACAAGAAGUCACUUGUGAUCCACCUGAAGCUGCCUUUUGUUGCAGAAACUUGUGUGUGGGGAUGGAGAACGGACAUGAAGCACAUGGAGUGGAUAUAAUCAUGAGGACUCUGUCACUCUCGGGGAUGUGUCUGUGUGUCUCCCUCUGAAGGUGAAAAUGAGGAUGAGUUCCUUAAGGGAGUAUUUACACAGUUUUACCA